rnacentral:rRNA from 1 species
UACGAAGGGAGCUAGCGUUGUUCGGAAUCACUGGGCGUAAAGCGCACGUAGGCGGCUUUGUAAGUUAGAGGUGAAAGCCCGGAGCUCAACUCCGGAAUUGCCUUUAAGACUGCAUCGCUCGAAUCAUGGAGAGGUGAGUGGAAUUCCGAGUGUAGAGGUGAAAUUCGUAGAUAUUCGGAAGAACACCAGUGGCGAAGGCGAACUCACUGGACAUGUAUUGACGCUGAGGUGCGAAAGCGUGGGGAGCAAACAGG